rnacentral:lncRNA from 1 species
UGAGUGUUUCUGGCCAUAAGUUUGUGGGUUGUCCAAUGCCUUGUGGUGUUCAGAUCACAAGGAUGGAACACAUCAAUGUGCUUUCAAGCAAUGUUGAAUACCUAGCAUCAAGGGAUGCUACGAUCAUGGGAAGUCGGAAUGGUCAUGCUCCUCUUUUCCUUUGGUAUACUCUCAAUAGAAAAGGUUAUAAAGGAUUUCAAAAAGAUGUUCAGAAAUGCCUCAGAAAUGCUCACUACUUGAAAGACCGACUGCACGAGGCUGGGAUUAGUGCUAUGCUAAAUGAACUCAGCAGUACGGUUGUGUUUGAGCGGCCCCGGGAUGAGGAGUUUGUUCGUAGGUGGCAACUUGCUUGUGAAGGGAAUAUAGCACAUGUGGUGGUGAUGCCUAAUGUGACAAUCGAAAAACUGGAUUUCUUCUUGAAUGAAUUAGUUGAAAAACGGUCGACUUGGUAUCAAGGGAAUGUUCAACCUCCUUGUAUUGCAGCAGAGAUAGGGAAAGCGAAUUGCGUUUGUGCUCUGCACAAGUGAAAAAAAAUAUCAGUCUAUGAUUCAGGAAUUCCUCUAUUUUCAUGCAGCUUGUCAUUUGGUUUUAAUGAAAUAUAGAUUAGAUUCAUAAGUUUUUCGUUUUACAUUCUCAUUGUUAUGGUAAAUAGUAGUGCCUAUCGACAUGUUCAUAUGUUGACUAU